CCAAAACCAAUUUCAAUAUUUCAUCCUAUUUUCUCUUCUCUUAUUCGAACCAUCAACACUCACCACCACCAUUCUCUUCCACCACAAUCGUCAGCCAUCUCCGCCACCAUUACCCGCCUCACCUCCGCCACCAUCUACGACAAACACGACCCAACACCUCCCUUAUUUUAUCUCGCCUCCCCUGCAGCUACUCACUCCCCUGUUCCUUCUUCCUUUUCUUCCCUUGCGGCACCACCAGCGUCGCACCACUGCUCCCAACCACCCCCGCCACCUUGUAAACCAACCUCCGCCACACAUACUCCGUCAAACCAUUGUGCAGCCGCCCAGAACCGCCCAACUCACCACCCCUUCCCUGCUUUUCCCCUGUUCGCGCAACAACCUCUCCCCUUGCCUGACGCGCCGCCGCGAACCACCACACCACCGACGCCUUUCCACCGCGGGUUCGCGUCCCCAUGCCACCCGAGCCCAGACCCAGCCGCCACCUCUCUUUCUCCUCCCCUGCUCCUUCGUACCCUGCUGUUGCUUCCUCUCUCCUUUUUGCUCGACAUUCAGGAAGUCAGGAAAUCAAUUCCUGACUUUUGAAUUCUUCCCCUAUUAAACCCAAAACAAAAGUGUUGGGCCCAGUUCUAAUAUUUGGGUUUUGAAAUUGGACUCGAAGCUCAGGAAGAACGGUCCAUCAAACAGGAAAUAUAAGACAACGGUUGAGGUAUUGUUGGGGACCACGGAAACGAGUAGUGGUGAGGAUUUCACUAUAGCAAUGUUCACCUAAGUUAAUGUUAAGUUGUAACAAGUUUAAGUAUGACUCUUGAUUAAGUUAUGUACUUUGAUUAAGGAAUUAAAAGGAUUAAUAUGGAGUUUUGGAGUAAUUAUUGUGAUGGUUGCCUUGUAAUUCCCAAGAGGGAGUUACGGCAGUAAUGUCCCGACCAUAUUAGGAUGUUUCCGCUGCUAAGUAUGCCUUAAUAAGUGAAUUAGAGGUCGGGGCGUUACACUUCGUCCCUUAAUAAUCGCACCGGUUUGACCAAUGCGGAGUUUAAGACACUUGAAUUGACUUAUUAAUUUAAAUGGUGGUAGUUAAUAGUGAGGUAUGUUUUUAAUAUAGUUAGUGAGAAAUGUGUAAGUGGGUAGUGGGGUGUAAUUUUUAAAUGAUUUUUUGUAAGGAGUGGCUGGGUUAGUAGAUAAGUGUGAGAAAUAAUAUAAUAUUGGUAAAAAAAAUUCAUUUAUAGAAGCAGUGCAAAUAUUAAGGGACGACCAGCAAAGGAAAGCGAUACGGGUAUUAAGGGAUGGAGGGAAUAUGAAAUGGCAUGUCAAAAAUGAUGAGGUAUGUGACGAGAUGACAUUCUUUACUUAACUUGGAGUUUUAAUAACAAUAUAGUUUGUUUACAGGGUAUCUAAAAGUUCCAGUUUCAAAAGUUUGUGAACCGAAAAAAAUAAAAGAAAAAAAAAUAUAUAUAUAUAUAUUGUAAUAAAUUUUCAAUUUUGUUAGCUGGAAGCCUGGACCGAAACUUAUGUUCAGAUUCGGAUUUUAAAACCGCAGAUUCUUAACAGGUUUCAAUUCCAAUUUAUAUUACCCGGUUUUUUUUAGUGUCAGCCCUACCCAUAACUGAAGUUUGUUGAGUCAUUGAUUGGCUCACUCUUUAAUUUUUUACAUUUUUCAUACAUAUAACUUAUAUGGUGGGCAAUUCAUUUAGUGUAACAACUGCACUAUAGAUGAUGUGUACAACUUUGGUUGUGUAGCAACCAGUUGUGGCAAAUUGGGUGACAUAGAUGAUGAGGUUUUGCUGGCAUAUUGUUCACCAUACCAAAAUUAUGAAUUAUUACUAGAAUACAAAGAAAAAUUAUAAUUAUUACUAGAAUAUACCCAAAGAACUAGAAGUAUAUGAAUACUUGAAUAAACUCUCACCUAUUUAGUGUUAGUGUGAUACUCCUUUUAAAUGGGACUAUAUUAUCGAUUACUAGAUUAGAUCUUGUGCACGCAUGGAUUUUGAUUUUUUUUUUUCACCAAAAUAUUUAACUGAAUAUCUUCCAAACUACUGCAUAAUUAUAAUAUUUUUAACAUACUAGCUUAAAUUUAUUCAUCAGCGCGUCUCCUUUGAGACCAGUCACACCAUCAACUUGAUGGUGUGACAAGCGCGAAACCAAUAGCGUACCCUCCUCUAAAACUGUAUAAAAAAAAGUAACAGAUCUAAACUAUAGAAGUAACAUACCUAAACUAAAAAAGUACCUCCUCUAAAAUUAUAUAUAUAAAAAGUAACAUGUCUAAACUAUAGGAGUAACAUACCUAAACUAAAAAUGUACCUCCCCUAAAACUAUUCCGUAUAAAAAAAAGUAACAUGUCUAAACUAUAGAAGUAACAUACCUAAACUAAAAAAGUACCUCAUCUAAAAUUAUAAAGAAAAGUAACAUGUCUAAACUAUAGAAGUAAUACAUAAACUAAAAAGGUACCUCCCUAAAACUAAUCCGUAUAAAAAAAGUAUCAUGUCUAAACUAUAGAAGUAACAUACCUAAACUAAAAAGGUACCUCCCCUAAAACUACUCCGUAUAAAAAAAAGUAACAUGUCUAAACUAUAGAAGUAACAUACCUAAACUAAAAAAAAUACCUCCUCUAAAAUUAUUAAAAAAAAAGUAACAUGUCUAAACUAUAGAAGUAACAUACCUAAACUAAGAAGGUAUCUCCCCUAAAACUACUCCGUAUUAAAAAAAAGUAACAUGUAUAAACUAUAGAAGUAACAUACCUAAACUAAAAAAAGUACUUCCUUCUAAAAUUAUAUAAAAAAAAGUAACAUGUCUAAACUAUAGAAGUAACAUACCUAAACUAAGAAGGUAUUUCCCAUAAAACUACUCCGUAUAAAAAAAGUAACAUUUAUAAACUAUAGAAGUAACAUACCUAAACUAAAAAAAGUACCUCCUCUAAAAUUAUAAAAAAAAGUAACAUGUCUAAACUAUAGAAGUAACAUACAUCGCAAGUGUGAAUUGGUCUCACCAUCAGUUGAUGGUGAGGACAGUCUCAUAUAAGAAUUUGGGUUUAUUCAUCUAAUAUGCAUAUUUAAAAUGGUAAUAUGGUAAUUUGACCAAAAUAUUGAGUGAUAUAUUUUCCAUUAUUAAUAUAGCGCUUUGACUAAAAUAUUACCAAUUUAGAAUAAUUAUUAUUACGUCGUAUCUAUUAUUGCCAUAAUUUAUAAACUAAAUUUUGUUUCCAUACAUAAAUAGUUUAUAAAAAAAGUAGAGAAUAAAAAUAAAAUAAAACAGAUACACUUUUUGGGAAAGUGGUUUUUGGCGGGAAAAAAUCGCACCAGAAAUUGACACGUGUCAUUCCUGAUGUCUCUUUUAGUAUAUAGUAAUAGAUAGAUAAUAUAUUCUUUAUACGACCCGACAAAUCGUAUAUUAAACCAACCAUUUGUGUAUGGAGGGGGGAAAGGGAAUACUUUGUAAUUUUUAUCAACUAGUAAUCCUAUUUGUGAGCGAGCAUUAGACUUAGAUGAAUUCAUAUUCGAGUCAAGGUGAACUUAAUUAAAGAAACUAUUUAGACGAACAUUGGUGUAUUCAAUUCUAGCUAUAACUCGAAUUCAAGACAUCUAAUUGAGACCAUUCUCUUACAACUUGAAUCAAAGGGUGAGUUUUGUUCUAUCCUUCUUUCUCUUUGUAGAAUGUGAUAUGUGCCGAAAAUUCAGAAUUCCCAACUUACAGUUGGAUCAAACAUAUAGCUCUAAUAUGAAUUCAAUUUUGAAUUGGCUCAUAGUAUUAGGUCUCAAAUAGCUCUAAUACCAUGUUAAAUAUGAGCAUGGCUGCUCCUAUCAUAAUUAUAGAGUGUUCACUUCACAAGAUUAAAUAAAGUUUCAUCUUAAAAUCAUAUUAUAAUAAUAAUAUGAAAAAAUGGUUCUUACCCUUAUAAAUUGAACAUCUAUCUACAAAAGAGUUGCUUCAAAGCCUUAUAAACCAAACUAGCUAGGAUUCGGCGCAUGAUUAAUUGAUGGUGUUGUGGCGCAACAAAGUUUUAUCUUGUCUGGUUUAAGAGUCUAGGCUUAAUCACUACAAAAUUAUGCAUCAAUUAGAUAUGGAUUUUGAGACGGAUAUCAUAAACGUCUCGAACUUGAGACAAAUUACUAAAACUUCGUCUCUUAAUUAAAAUUGAGAUGGAAGUCUAUAUGGAGUUUCAAAAAUUCCGUCUCAAAUUUGUAAUGGAUUUGAAAGAAUUCCGUGUCAAUUCUUUUUUAAGACGCCCCUCUAUAGAGACGCUCUAUUUUGGUCUCAAAUCCGUCUCUAAGCAUCAUUUUAAGACGGAUUUGAACUUUAUAGAGUCGAUAUUCCUCGUCUCUAUAAAAUGAUUAUUUUGUAGUAAAUUAAUCCUAACAUGGAUGCCUAGCUAAAACUAUUGUUAAUUAAUUUCUCAAGUUUGGCCAAUAACAUUGUCACAUUCUACUAAUUUUGGUUAUUUCAACUUUUAAUUAGCUUCUAUAAAUGUCUUCUUUUAUCAACUAGGCAUGUAAUAUAUUAACCCUGCAACUCAUUGUUCUAUGCAUGCCCUACUUAAUUUGUAUCAUAUACAACAUGUUUGACCACAUGAAACUACAUGAAUAUCAAAUUCAUGACGGUUUAGUCUUUUUUUUAAUUCGAUUUGAUUAACUUUAUAAUCCGUAUUAUACUAUGUUAGAUAAUGCCUUGAAUCGGUCAAGCCCCUUACUCCAACGUCCCAUCACGGAGAGUACUAUAUAAACCCUCUAGGUCAUAACCUAGUUGUAUUCUGUAAUCUGUACUCCUCAAGAUCAAUAAAACUU